rnacentral:rRNA from 1 species
GACGAACGCUGGCGGCGUGCCUAAUACAUGCAAGUAGAACGCACAGUUUAUACCGUAGCUUGCUACACCAUAAACUGUGAGUUGCGAACGGGUGAGUAACGCGUAGGUAACCUGCCUGGUAGCGGGGGAUAACUAUUGGAAACGAUAGCUAAUACCGCAUAAUAUUGAUUAUUGCAUGAUAAUUGAUUGAAAGAUGCUAUUGCAUCACUACCAGAUGGACCUGCGUUGUAUUAGCUAGUAGGUGAGGUAACGGCUCACCUAGGCGACGAUACAUAGCCGACCUGAGAGGGUGAUCGGCCACACUGGGACUGAGACACGGCCCAGACUCCUACGGGAGGCAGCAGUAGGGAAUCUUCGGCAAUGGACGAAAGUCUGACCGAGCAACGCCGCGUGAGUGAAGAAGGGUUUCGGAUCGUAAAGCUCUGUUGUAAGAGAAGAACGGGUGUGAGAGUGGAAAGUUCACACUGUGACGGUAUCUUAACAGAAAGGGACGGCUAACUACGUG